rnacentral:rRNA from 1 species
GACGAACGCUGGCGGCGUGCUUAACACAUGCAAGUCGAACGGAAAGGCCCUGCUUUUGUGGGGUGCUCGAGUGGCGAACGGGUGAGUAACACGUGAGUAACCUGCCCUUGACUUUGGGAUAACUUCAGGAAACUGGGGCUAAUACCGGAUAGGAGCUCCUGCUGCAUGGUGGGGGUUGGAAAGUUUCGGCGGUUGGGGAUGGACUCGCGGCUUAUCAGCUUGUUGGUGGGGUAGUGGCUUACCAAGGCUUUGACGGGUAGCCGGCCUGAGAGGGUGACCGGCGACAUUGGGACUGAGAUACGGCGCAGACUCCUACGGGAGGCAGCAGGGGGGAGUAUUGCACAAUGGGCGGAAGCCUGAUGCAGCAACGCCGCGUGCGGGAUGACGGCCUUCGGGUGGUAAACCGCUUUCGCCUGUGACGAAGCGUGAGUGACGGUAAUGGGUAAAGAAGCACCGGCUAACUACGUG